AUUGAACGCUGGCGGCAGGCCUAACACAUGCAAGUCGAGCGGCAGCGACUUAACUGAACCUUCGGGGAACGUUAAGGGCGGCGAGCGGCGGACGGGUGAGUAAUGCCUGGGAAUAUGCCCUGAUGUGGGGGAUAACUAUUGGAAACGAUAGCUAAUACCGCAUAAUCUCUUCGGAGCAAAGAGGGGGACCUUCGGGCCUCUCGCGUCAGGAUUAGCCCAGGUGGGAUUAGCUUGUUGGUGAGGUAAUGGCUCACCAAGGCGACGAUCCCUAGCUGGUCUGAGAGGAUGAUCAGCCACACUGGAACUGAGACACGGUCCAGACUCCUACGGGAGGCAGCAGUGGGGAAUAUUGCACAAUGGGGGAAACCCUGAUGCAGCCAUGCCGCGUGUGUGAAGAAGGCCUUCGGGUUGUAAAGCACUUUCAGUAGGGAGGAAGGUAGUGUAGUUAACACCUGCACUAUUUGACGUUACCUACAGAAGAAGCACCGGCUAACUCCGUGCCAGCAGCCGCGGUAAUACGGAGGGUGCGAGCGUUAAUCGGAAUUACUGGGCGUAAAGCGCAUGCAGGCGGCCUGUUAAGUCAGAUGUGAAAGCCCGGGGCUUAACCUCGGAAUUGCAUUUGAAACUGGCAGGCUAGAGUCUUGUAGAGGGGGGUAGAAUUUCAGGUGUAGCGGUGAAGUGCGUAGAGAUCUGAAGGAAUACCAGUGGCGAAAGCGGCCCCCUGGACAAAGACUGACGCUCAAUGCGAAAGCGUGGGAGCAACAGG
rnacentral:rRNA from 1 species